UACAAUGGAACUUUGUCGUUUUCUGCUUUUUGAGUUUUCUUCAUUGCUGUUUGUGCAGCUGUGUUGCAAUCGAGAGUGGCUUCGAGCGCCAUUCUCCGAUAUUACUCCAUGAGUAACAGGAAGCUGGCAGCUGACGCGGGCUGAAGUUCUCUGCAACGAGUAUGCAACUUCGUGAGAUGAUUAACUCGUUGGUGUAUUUCUGCUAAGUAGAGUGAUAAAAUAGUUGCCAGAAUCGAGCGAACUGAAGUGUUCUCUGCAGGCUUUUACCCUGCCAUAUUUAUUGGCGUGUGAAAUUCAGAAGCCGAUCUCCCAAUUCAGUAUCCUUGUGUGCUCUUGUUUCAGCUCAGCCGCAUUGAUGCUAAGCUCAAUUUGUAUUGUCAUAUGUAAUCUCGUUCAUGUUAUAUUUGCAUCACUGCCAGUUCAGUGUUACACAAGUGCAUAAGUGGCGUGCAUGUCACACUCCAUUAGCUUUUUCAAUAAAGUGUGUGCAUCCAUCUUUCUCCAUUUAAUUUCAGAAAUAAAUAAUUCUGUAGCACAGUA